rnacentral:lncRNA from 10 species
CAAAUUUAAUCAAUAAAAGCUAUUUGCUCAAUCAAAAAUUUUUUCAUAAAAUGUUACAGGGGCUUGCCAAUUUAUGGGCUCCGUUCUUGAGAGAACUUAGUUCUGUCCAAAUCUUGGUUCUGUAUGUUUUCUCUUCCCUCUAGCAUAAAGUAAACUUCUUAUGACACGAUUAUGGUAAACUUUUAUCGGUCUGUCAAAUCUUCGUGUGAUUUUUUUCGUGUGUAUAUAUUUUUUUCUCUCUUCCAAAAUGCUGAGAGAUUCAGUUUGGUGACUUGAAAGCCUGAAUAAAUUCUUGGACCAAGUCAGUCAAAUCAAUUGCCAAAUCCAAAUGUUGGCUGGAAUACCAGAACACUUUUAUGCUUGUAGAAAAUGUCCUGGUUUUCUUGGUCAGGGCUGCUUUGAGUGUUGGCUUGGUUCCUCUCAUAGCACCUGGAGAAAGGUCCAUACUUCUUAGAAAACAAAAGAAAAUCUUCUUCAGAAUUAUCUAUUUCUGGAAAAGUUAAGAGUUUCAUUUAUAUUCUGAAAAUGGGUGAUUGCUUUGCCUGUUGUGAACCAGUUGUACUAAGGGUAGAAAGCAUAAAGCUGAAAAAUUUGUCCAUCCAAGCCUUCCUUGAGCAUCUGUGCUCAGUGAUGAGGGUGCACAGAUGAAAUGGAUGUAUUUUCACUUCUCUAAGUGCUAAAAUCUACUGGAAGAUACAGACAUAUAAACAGAUAAUUAUAGUACCAUAUAAUAAGUGCUGUAAAGAUAUGUGAAUACAGUGAUAUGGAAACCUAAAGGAGGGGAAUAUUUUUAUAUGUAUCUGUGCAUUGCUAUUCUUCGCCAUUACUGGCACUCUUUCUAGAAGCCUCAUGAGAAGGAGACAAAAACAAAGAAGUUCUGAAUCUGCAUCUGGAAGUAUCACACAGAGGGGAGGGCUUCGCUGUAUUGGGGUUGAAUAAGGUGCUGAUAAGCCAAGUAUUAUUACCUGCGUGUGUAGAGCUUUGACUAUUUCCAGCACGUCGCUGAGGACGGAGGCUUCUCAGUGGCGGUGCCAAGGAAACUGUUGGAGGUUGCCAGUCAUUUUAGAGAAAUGCCAUGGAACGCAGCAUGCCAGAUGGCUACUGAUGAAAGUGAUGAAGGUUCACGCUUAGAAAUGAAGUCCAAUUCCAUAUUUGGUCCUUCUUUCCUUCCUUCUCUUUUGAAGGCAUAAGACAGCACAAACUCAGCCUUAUUCUACUCUUGCCCUACAAAAUUGCCAUCAUCCUUUUCUCUUUUAUAAAGUACUGGAGAGAUACAGUCAAGUUACAUCUGCUUCAUUCCCAAAGGCUCAAAGGCUCCCCCGGCCCAUCUCUCGCUGCACCAGGCCCUUUCUCUCUUGACCCUUCUUACUCCUCUUCUCACUCCUCCUUUGCCUGCCAGGAAUCACUGUCAACAGAACCCACGGAGGGUCGGCUGCCUGCCGGGGACUAGUUUCUGUAAGUAGGCCCUGGAGAGCUCUUCUGGACCAGAGGCUAUGGUGGUGCACUCGUGAUAGCCGAUUGUUAAAUCUUCAGGAAUUGUGUGAUCCAGUUGAUCAGUUUGAUAUUGGCUGUGGUGGAAGCAUUCACAUCACAGAAAUCAGCAAACACAGCAGAAAGAAGCACCAGGAGAUCCGAAAGUGAAUCAUAAAUGUGCUGGGAUUUCAGAAGAUGUUACUGGAUGCAGGAAUGGAGAGGACCUGGCUUGGAAAUUUCAAGUAAAGGGGUACCAGAGUUGAAUAGGGGAUCCAUGCCUGAACAAUCAGUUAGAGAAAAUUAAGAGCCAAUUUUUUUCUGUUGCCGUGGUUUCAGCUCCCAUUUCUAUGCUGAGGAAUCCUGAAAUCUCUAUCUCUAGCACGGUAUUUCUCAUGAGCUUCUCAACUCUUUAUCUUAAUGGCCAUCUUCCCCUGAACAGUCCACAGAAAAGUGAAACUGAAAAUGUCUAAAAUCAUAUGAUUCCUUUCCUGCCUUCAAACCUACUUCUCAUUCUGUUUCCUACACUUUUGUGGAGCCCCCAUCUAUCUAGUUAUCCACAUUAGAAACCUAUUCCCAACAUACCCCACUCAUUUCUCAAAUUCAAUCGCAAUCCUAUAAAUUUUGCAUUCCAGAUAUUUUAUGAAUUUAUUAUACUUCUCCAUCUCUAAGUCAAAGCAGCAAAAUGUUCAAUAAGCAGCUCCAGCAUGGCCCCAGGCUAAUGGCAGUAAUUAAAUCCAGAAUGCAUAGGACUCCAUGGUGGCAUUCCAUAAGGAGAAUUCUAUAAACAUAUCACCUUUCCGGCCACACAUUUUUUUCUUCCAGAAAUUAAUGUUUACCUUGUAGGAAAGUGCUGGGCAUUUUAAUUUUUUCCUGAAACUUUACAUUCUUAUCACCCUCCUAGCUUUCUUUUAACAGGUAAUUAACUCGUAAGAAUCUUAAGAUUCAUAUAUUGGCCAGACCAAUGCCAUCACUGUCUAUUUGCUAUAGAGAAGGGGUCCACUGAGAGUCAGAGUAGUCCUGCAGCCUCAUGACUGUGACAAGUGGUACCCACAGAGGUUUCCAAUGCCAGUGGCAGGCGUGUGACCUUGGGCCCUCUGUGCCUUGGGAGGACACUAUCACAGAAGAGAUAUGCAUAUCAAUUUGGGAAAAGCUGGAAAAAGUUAUCAGUCAUUUCCUGAUUCUAUUAAGAAUCUGGGAGUCUAGUUUCUACUUGAGUUCCCUAAAGAAAUAAAAAUAUGCACCAUUUGGGGAUAAGCAGGGAAUGGGAGAAAGGGUACAGCAUAUUACAUCCCCAUCCCAAUCAACAGAAAGAAAAUUAGGAAAGGACUGUCAAUUCUCAUGAAGUUGACAUUAUUUCAUGAAACUGAAUUACUCUAUAAAUAUUUAAUAAUCUACCCUGCCUAAGCAAUGUGGGCACAUAGAGCUGCAAAUAACAUUGCCAUGAUUGUUGUCUUCAGCAAGCUUACAGUACAGCAAGAGACGAAGUCAUGGAAACAAGAACUUACAAAGCAAUGUCAUUAGAAUUGUAUGUAAUGUGUGUGAAGGGAGGUGCAGACAUGUGAAGUGGACAGCCAACUAGAUUUAGGGGAGAGUGAAAAAAGAUAUUGCUGCAGGAAAUUAUAUCCAAGCUGAGACCAGAAGUUGAACAAAAGUUGGUCAAGUUGCAGAAAGAGAGUAUGCACAGAGGAGAUGGGUUCUGGGAGAAAGCAACAGCAUGGGCAAAGGCCCAGGAAUGGGAGAUGGUCGGGCCCAUUUAGGACUACAAAAGAAGUUUAUCCUAGCUUGUGUAGAACUGAUACACAAAGUGAUGAGAUAUAAGACCAGAAAAACAAUGUUUGAACUUUGAAGGCUCUUAUUGGCUGCAUGGAGAAAUUAAGACUUUGUCAUGUCUUGUGUCUUAGAAAUGUCACUCAUAGUGAAAAGAAUGGAUUAAAAGGGGAGAAGGCUAGAGGAAGGGUUAUUGAUUAGGAGGCUUAUUCCAGUAAUUUAGAUGAGGAAUUAUGUUGGCUUUUGUUAAGGAAAUAACAAUGAGGAUGUAAAUAAGUGGUUAUGUUAAAAAAUAUUUAGGAAUUCGACUCAAUAAGAAUUGGUGAUUACCAAUCUACAGUUGCAAAGACAUGGAACAAACUUAAGUGCCCACUGACCAAUGAGUGGAUAAAAGAAAACAUGGUAUAUAUAUACCAUGGAACUACUCAGCCAUAAAAAGGAAUGAAAUGUCCUUUUCAGCAACUUAAAUGGAGCUGGAGGCCAUUAUUCUAAGUGAAGUAACUCAGGAAUGGAAAACAGAAUACCAUAUGUUCUUACUUAUAAGUGGGAGCUAAACUAUGAGUAAGCAAAGGCAUACAGAGUGAUAUAAUGAACUUUGGAGACUCAGAAGGGGAAGGAUGGGAAGGAGUAAAGGAAAAAACAUCUACAUGUUGGGUAUAAUAUACACUAUUCAGGUGACAGGUGCACUAAAAUCUCAGAAUUCACCACUAUAUAAUUCAUCCACAUAACCAAAAACCACCUGUACCCCAAAAGCUAUUGAAAUCUAAAAAUAAAUAAAUAAAAAUUUUAAAAAUAGAAUGGUGAUAACAGGAAGACUGAGGAGACAGCAAAACUAAGAAGGACCCCAUGUGUCUGACAUUAGCAGUUUGUUGGAUGGGAAUAGCAUUCACUGUGAUAGGAAACUAGAGAGAAGAAGCAGGUUUGGGGAACGGGAUCAAAGGAGGAUAAUGAGUUGAGUUCCUGAUGUUUUCAGUUCUAGAUUUUUGCAGUAUAUACAAGUGGGAAUAUGCAUAGACAGUUGUGUAUGGAGGUUAGAAGAGAGAUCUGAACAAAGGAUAAACAUCAGAGAGUCAACAGCACAUAAUAGUGACAAUGGGAGUAGAUGACAUCUACCAUGGAGAAGAUGAGAGUAGGAGUUGAGACUUAGAACAGGAACUGGAUUUUUUUUUUUACUUUUUUUUAAUUUUUAAGUUUCAGGAUACAUGUGUAGGAUGUACAGGUUUGUUACAUAGGUAAAUGUGUGUCAUGGUGGUUUGCUGCACCUAUCAACCCAUCACCUAGGUAUUAAGCUCCACAUGCCUUAGCUAUUUAUCCUGAUGCUCUCCCUCCUACCGCCCCCCAACCCCCGACAGGCCCCAGUUUAUGUGGUUCACCGCCGUGUCCAUGUGUUCUCAUUGUUCAGCUCCCACUUAUAAGUGAGCCAUUAUCCUCAGCAAACUCACACAGGAACAGGAACUGGAUCUUGCAGAGGAGACAGAAAAUGCUCACAGAGGGAAGGAGGGACACUGCGGUGGUCUGGAGAGCGGAAGCUUUUCAGAAGGAGUAGUUUACAACAAUAUGAUGCAGUUAUCAAGAAUGGAUUCUGUAUGUGCAGAUAAUGUGAAGAUGUUCAAAAUACAUUGCAUGAAAAGAGCAGGUUGAAGAACAAUAUGUGUGGUAUGAUCUCAUUGUAUAUUUUUAAAUACUGAAUCUGAAUGAAUAUUUCUGGAGAAAUACUGAAGAGAUGGCCAAAAAUAGGUCUUUAAGAAAUAAGACUUAAGAGUCACAGAGAAAAAGGGGCUGCAAAUUACCACUUAAUAUACCUCCAAUAUUGGUAGAAUAUUUUACCUUGAGUGUAUCUUGCAUUUGUAUAGUUUUUAAGUUAAUUAAAAAGAAAGAGAAUUGUUGUCAGUAUCAGUACUGCAGAUAAAGUAAAAUCAAAAUGAAAAAUAUUAAUUAGCUUUGCAACAAGGAGGUCAUUAGUGAAUUAAUAGAAAUAUUUUCAGUGGCCGGACAUGGUGGUUCAUGCCUGUGAUCUCAGCACUUUGGUAAGCAGAGGCAGGUGGAUUGCUUGAGCUCAAGAAUUCAAGACCAGCCUGGGCAACAUGGGGAAACCCAGUCCCUAGAAAAAACUACAAAAAUUAGCUGAGUGUGGUGGCAUGCGCCUGUAGUCCCAGCUACAUGGGGGACUGCGGCAGGAGGAUGGCUUGAGCCUGGGAGGCAGAGGUUGCAUCUGGUGAACAAAGAUUGCACCACUGCACUCCAACCUGAGCAACAGAGCCAGACCUUGUGUCAAAAAAAAAAAAGAAAGAAAGAAAGAAAGAAAUCUUCAGCGAAGUGAUAAGGCUGGAUUUGUGGAUGGUAGCAAUGACAUAGGAAAAAAAAAAAGGGGAAAAUCUGUGUAAAUAGCUCAUUCUAGAAGAUUGGAUAUGAAGAGAAGGCAAGAGAUAGGGCAAUUACCAGAGGGGGCAUGUGGUUGAGAAAGAGAAUAUUUUAUUAUGGAGAGUUUCUGGCACAUUGACAUCUUGGUGGAAUUUGCCCUAGUAGGCAGAGAACCUCCUGUAGAAGCAGAAAGGUGGACAAGGACUCAAGAUUGACAUCUUGGAGCAGUAGGAAAAGAUUGGACUAAGAAAAAAGUGGACAAAAAUUAACCUUGGAUAGGAAUAGAGACACCUUUCUCACUGCAAAAUAAGGUGAAAAGGGAGGAAUAAAGGCAAUGCAGGUAAGCCUACAGUGUCAGUAGCCACAGUAUCUCAGGCUUUUGAAAUGUCCCAGAUGCCAUGAAAAUAAAUCAAAUUUGGUGUUGCAAGCCUUUAGCAGAAUAAUUUAGAGUUUGAAUAUUGAUGCCUAUAAUAAAAGCAGAUUUUCUCUUUAACAUCUUUAUCAUGCAAAGCAAGCAUGCAUGAUAGUAAAAGAUUAUAUGUGCAACUAGUGUUUUGAAGGGGUUAUCAUUUAUAUCUGGAUAAUUUAUAUGAAUUACAAAUUGCUUUUCCCUUAUUUAUUACAAUCAAGAAACCAUGCAAUAUGGUAACACUAAUUUAUCUUACUCAUAAUAUGUGAGUUUCUUAAGGGCAUGGUUUAUGUCCUAUUUGUCUUCAUUUACUUAUACUCAGCACAGGGCUCAGCAUGCAGUCACUGUUCAAUCAAUGUUUAAUAAAUAAAUGAAUGUAAUCCUGAAAAUAAAGUUGGUGCUUUAUUCUGAUAUAUAUUACCACCCAAAAUUUUUUCUUUAAAGCCUAAAAAGAAGUAAUUGCAAGGGUGUUUUCAGGAAAAGGGAGAACAGAAGAGGUUACAAAAGCUCAUAACAGUGAAGACUCAAGGGUGUAUAUUUAUUCCAUAUUGCUCACCCCAACAGUAGCCAUGACUUCAAAAUAAUAGCGCAAGUUAAUGCAUUUUCACACCUCAAAAAAAAAGGUUAUGCUCUUCACGUCAGCCUGCUGUGCACAAUUAUAGGAGAGAAACCACGGGGACUAACCGGUUGCUAAAAAGCGUCCAGAACAUCAAAGGAUUUUUACCAAUGCAUUCAUUCACCAGAGCUGCCCAGUGCAAAUUUAAUAAGAACCUUUAGUUUAGAAAUUAUGCAUCCUGAAUGGCAGACUCUUCUAAAUGACUAGAUUGCUCCAAGGGAUUGAAGAGAUGUAAUCUAAAUAACUGGCUCCAUUAUUGUUUUCUCCUUGUCAGCUGCAAUUACAAGUCACUACCAUCCGAGGGCUAUUUACCAGUCUGUAUAAAAGGGUUUAAAUAUUCAGCUAACCAAUUGGAAAUACAUCCAUGUACUAUGACUUGCUCUCCCCACUGGGACUCAUACUGACAGCUUAGCAAAAAGAGCCACGAAAUUAAAACACAUCGCACCUACUUAGCAACAUUCCUAGGUGGACCCAGCUCUGACAAGAUUCAGGCAGACUGACCAGAAAGCCGUUAUUGAUCUGCACUCUGAUUUUACUCAAUAGGAAGGAGACCUUUCAGAUAUAUUAAAUUUAUGUUUUUAAAGUAAAUUCUGGUCUUCUACACAGAGCACUCAGCAUAAAUUAAAGAUGCAGCCCGACUACAUCCACACACUAAGACUGGGGCUGUUUUGCUGAGGCAUCCUUCUGAAAUACUUUGUAUUUCUUUCUCUUCUCCUUCCCACUGCAUAAGCUAGUAUUUUGACAAGCUAACCUCCUAUUUCGUGUCUCCUCACAUCAUUCUCCACUUCUUCUCUUUAAUCAUAGAGCCCCAUGAGUUUUACCUGAGUGCUUGGCCACCACCACUUCUCCCAAACUCUCUUGUGCCUAAACAUAACAAAAAGGAUGCCAGUGGAAGUGCUAAAUGCAAUUUCCGGGACCUACCAGGUUGCCCUUUACCU